GGUCACCGGCUCCGGGCGCCGCGAGGCCCGGGAGAACGCCCCGCGCUGGCGGCAGGUGCGCUGUGCCCCUCGUGCAGCCCAGGCUUCCCCUCUGCCUCCCGCUGCCCCCGGCAUCCCUCCUGUCCCGGGAGGGCGGCGGGAGGCAGAGCUCCUCUCCCGUGCCGCCCACUCCCAGUCCAGGACAGGCCGCGCUCCCGCCGGCUCCUCCGUUGCCGUUCCGGGAGAAGUGAUGGGACAGGCUCCGCGUUGCAGGGUCCUGAAAAAAACGGGCACCUGCCAAACUGCGGACCAGAUGUGACUGAGGAGACUCACUGCAGUAUCUCAUAACUGGAAGUCAGAAGGGCAAGGCUGCUUCUGAACAGCAGAGCUGGGGAGAAUGGAAGAAACUCUGCCUUUAUACAGGCACAAAACCCAGUGGCUGUCUCUUGGCCAGUGUUCCUGAUUUUCCAGUAAGCUGUGUGCUGCACGGAGGUGUAGAACCCUAAUGGCUUGUUGUAUGCCAUUAAAAGAGCAAGUCAGGCCUCUGUGGGCUUUCAAAACCAAAUGAAUGAUGGUCUUGACCAGCACUGUGGUGUUGCUAAUGACCUCAUUGCUGACCACAGCUGCUGGCAGUCAGGCUCCCAUUGCCACUGCAUUGCUGAUAGAAACACCAAUUUUCUUUGAAUCUCAGAGGCAGAUGUGCAGAUGGGAGAGAAGCCGUGGUGCUGUGAGCAGAGUCCCAAGUUUUUAUCAGUGUUUUUGCAGAGUGGAACUGGAAGUUGCUGACGCACUCCAGGCAAUAACAUUGAGCACAGGGAAAAGUGCCUGCGUCAGUGGCACGGGGGGAGCAGGUUGUGGCACAUGAGGAAUGUGAACAGGAGUACGUUGCCAGGGCAACAGAGUGUAAGCAGGAGCACAGCACCUUGCAGAUCACAAAGGCAAAGCUGCAGAAAGAAAUUUCAGCGAGUUUCUCUCUCCCUUUUGCAAUAUAAGCAUUUACACCUGAGACAUCAGAGUCCAGGGAGUGAAGAGCAGCCUGGCUGCAGGGACAAGGGCAUGUGGCUCUGUUCAGAGUGAGCAGAAAAGCCAGGAAUGAAGGAGCAGCCUGUUGCUUUGGCAAUGCUUGACGAAAGAUCUCCCUUUCCCAUGGCUUCAGAGAGUUGGAGACAAGGUCACACUGGUCUGAGGAAAGCCAAAUAGCUUCUGGAAAUCCCAAAUCAGACUGACACUGCAAGAUCUGUCCAUCAUUCAAAUUUACAUGAAGUCACCUUCCACGUUGCUUUCACUGAUGUUUAGGAUUUUUUUUUCGUUUGGUAUUGGCUGGUUUCUGUGAAAUCCAACAGCUCUGCUCCUCUAAGCUCUAGCCAAGAAAAUCUCCACCGUUUUUGUCCUCUAUGCAGAACCUAAUUUCAUAGAAACUCUGAACAUUGAUUCAGAUAAAAUAUGUAGAUACAGAAUCUCCUUAAAGCAGUCUUCUAUGAAGUCUGCAGGAAGGCAGCUGACUGCAACUAGACUGGGCCACAGAAAGAAACCUGGAACAAGGUGCACUUACCAACUGCCAGACAGUGGACAAUAUUUCUAUUCUUUGUUGGCUUAGGAGACUGCAUUUUUGGCUCCUUAAAGCAAUUCUGGACAAGAAACUAUUUGCUGGAUCUUCCUGUACAAUUUUUAUUUUUUUUUUCUGUUUUAAUCAUAAUAAAUUUUAAAAUGUAGAAAGUCAAAA